rnacentral:rRNA from 1 species
UGGGGAAUAUUGCACAAUGGGCGCAAGCCUGAUGCAGCCAUGCCGCGUGUAUGAAGAAGGCCUUCGGGUUGUAAAGUACUUUCAGCGGGGAGGAAGGGAGUAAAGUUAAUACCUUUGCUCAUUGACGUUACCCGCAGAAGAAGCACCGGCUAACUCCGUGCCAGCAGCCGCGGUAAUACGGAGGGUGCAAGCGUUAAUCGGAAUUACUGGGCGUAAAGCGCACGCAGGCGGUUUGUUAAGUCAGAUGUGA